rnacentral:rRNA from 1 species
UGGCGGACGGGUGAGUAAUGUCUGGGAAACUGCCCGAUGGAGGGGGAUAACUACUGGAAACGGUAGCUAAUACCGCAUAACGUCGCAAGACCAAAGAGGGGGACCUUCGGGCCUCUUGCCAUCGGAUGUGCCCAGAUGGGAUUAGCUAGUGGGUGGGGUAACGGCUCACCUAGGCGACGAUCCCUAGCUGGUCUGAGAGGAUGACCAGCCACACUGGAACUGAGACACGGUCCAG